rnacentral:rRNA from 1 species
AUUGAACGCUGGCGGCAGGCUUAACACAUGCAAGUCGAGCGGGGUGAAGUGCUUCGGUACUGAUCCUAGCGGCGGACGGGUGAGUAAUACUUAGGAAUCUGCCAUUUAGUGGGGGACAACAUUCCGAAAGGAAUGCUAAUACCGCAUACGUCCUACGGGAGAAAGCAGGGGAUCUUCGGACCUUGCGCUAAAUGAUGAGCCUAAGUCGGAUUAGCUAGUUGGUGGGGUAAAGGCCUACCAAGGCGACGAUCUGUAGCGGGUCUGAGAGGAUGAUCCGCCACACUGGGACUGAGACACGGCCCAGACUCCUACGGGAGGCAGCAGUGGGGAAUAUUGGAAAAUGGGCGGAAGCCUGAUCCAGCCAUGCCGCGUGUGUGAAGAAGGCCUUUUGGUUGUAAAGCACUUUAAGCGAGGAGGAGGCUACCUAGAUUAAUACUCUGGGAUAGUGGGCGUUACUCGCAGAAUAAGCACCGGCUAACUCUGUGCCAGCAGCCGCCGUAAUAC